AUUGAACGCUGGCGGCAUGCCUUACACAUGCAAGUCGAACGGUAACAGGUCUUCGGAUGCUGACGAGUGGCGAACGGGUGAGUAAUACAUCGGAACGUGCCCGAUCGUGGGGGAUAACGAGGCGAAAGCUUUGCUAAUACCGCAUACGAUCUACGGAUGAAAGCGGGGGAUCUUCGGACCUCGCGCGGACGGAGCGGCCGAUGGCAGAUUAGGUAGUUGGUGGGAUAAAAGCUUACCAAGCCGACGAUCUGUAGCUGGUCUGAGAGGAUGAUCAGCCACACUGGGACUGAGACACGGCCCAGACUCCUACGGGAGGCAGCAGUGGGGAAUUUUGGACAAUGGGCGAAAGCCCGAUCCAGCCAUGCCGCGUGCAGGAUGAAGGCCUUUGGGUUGUAAACUGCUUUUGUACGGAACGAAAAGCCUCUUUCUAAUAAAGAGGGGUCAUGACGGUACCGUAAGAAUAAGCACCGGCUAACUACGUG
rnacentral:rRNA from 1 species